rnacentral:Y_RNA from 1 species
GACUAGUAUAUGUGCAGUGGUGUAUGCAACUAAUCUAUCACAACUAGUUGUAGAUUUCUUUGUUACUGCUCUACUCCUACUGCUUCACUUGACUAGCCUUAA